rnacentral:rRNA from 1 species
GUGACCUACGGGGCGCAGCAGUGGGGAAUAUUGGGCAAUGGGCGCAAGCCUGACCCAGCAACGCCGCGUGAAGGAAGAAGGCUUUCGGGUUGUAAACUUCUUUUAUGAGGGACGAAAGAAAUGACGGUACCUCAUGAAUACGCCACGGCUAACUACGUGCCAGCAGCCGCGGUAAUACGUAGGUGGCAAGCGUUAUCCGGAUUUACUGGGUGUAAAGGGCGUGUAGGCGUGACUGCACGUCAUAUGUGAAAAUUAUUGGCUCAACCCAUAACCUGCAUUUGAAACUGUAGUUCUUUAGUGAUGGG